rnacentral:rRNA from 1 species
UACGGAGGGUGCAAACGUUGCUCGGAAUUACUGGGCGUAAAGCGCACGUAGGCGGCUUUGUAAGUUAGAGGUGAAAGCCCAGGGCUUAACCCUGGAAUUGCCUUUAAGACUGCAUCGCUAGAAUCGUGGAGAGGUGAGUGGAAUUCCGAGUGUAGAGGUGAAAUUCGUAGAUAUUCGGAAGAACACCAGUGGCGAAGGCGACUCACUGGACACGUAUUGACGCUGAGGUGCGAAAGCGUGGGGAGCAAACAGG